CCGAUGUGGCUCAGCUGGUAGAGCAGUCGAUUCGUAAUCGACAGGUCAGGGGUUCGAGUCCCCUCAUCGGC
rnacentral:tRNA from 1 species